rnacentral:rRNA from 1 species
AGCUCCAAUAGCGUAUAUUAAAGUUGUUGCAGUUAAAAAGCUCGUAGUUGGAUUUCUGGUGGAAAGACUCCGCCCUCACGCGAGUGCGCGGAGGCUCUCUACCAUCCUUCUGUUAACCCUCGUGGUCCUUUAUUGGAUGCUUGGGAGCCCAGAUAUUUUACCUUGAGAAAAUUAGAGUGUUUCAGGCAGGCUUUCGCCCGGAUACAUUAGCAUGGAAUAAUAGAAUAGGACUUUUGCCUCUUCUGUUGGUCUGAGGGGUCGAAGUAAUGAUUAAUAGGGAUAGUUGGGGGCAUUAGUACUUAACUGUCAGAGGUGAAAUUCUUGGAUUUGUUAAAGACUAACUUAUGCGAAAGCAUUUGCCAAGGAUGUUUUCA